rnacentral:rRNA from 1 species
CCUACGGGAGGCUGCAGUGGGGAAUAUUGGACAAUGGGGCAACCCUGAUCCAGCCAUGCCGCGUGUGUGAAGAAGGCCCUCGGGUUGUAAAGCACUUUCAGUGAGGAAGAACGCCUGGUGGUUAAUACCCAUCAGGAAAGACAUCACUCACAGAAGAAGCACCGGCUAACUCCGUGCCAGCAGCCGCGGUAAUACGGAGGGUGCGAGCGUUAAUCGGAAUUACUGGGCGUAAAGCGCGCGUAGGUGGCUUGAUAAGCCGGUUGUGAAAGCCCCAGGCUCAACCUGGGAACGGCAUCCGGAACUGUCAAGCUAGAGUGCAGGAGAGGAAGGUAGAAUUCCCGGUGGAGCGGUGAAAUGCGUAGAGAUCGGGAGGAAUACCAGUGGCGAAGGCGGCCUUCUGGACUGACACUGACACUGAGGUGCGAAAGCGUGGGUAGCAAACAGGAUUAGAUACCCUAGUAGUA